GAUGUACGCUGGCGGCGUGCCUAAUACAUGCAAGUCGAGCGAACGGAUUAAGAGCUUGCUCUUAUGAAGUUAGCGGCGGACGGGUGAGUAACACGUGGGUAACCUGCCCAUAAGACUGGGAUAACUCCGGGAAACCGGGGCUAAUACCGGAUAACAUUUUGAACCGCAUGGUUCGAAAUUGAAAGGCGGCUUCGGCUGUCACUUAUGGAUGGACCCGCGUCGCAUUAGCUAGUUGGUGAGGUAACGGCUCACCAAGGCAACGAUGCGUAGCCGACCUGAGAGGGUGAUCGGCCACACUGGGACUGAGAACCGGCCCAGACUCCUACGGGAGGCAGCAGUAGGGAAUCUUCCGCAAUGGACGAAAGUCUGACGGAGCAACGCCGCGUGAGUGAUGAAGGCUUUCGGGUCGUAAAACUCUGUUGUUAGGGAAGAACAAGUGCUAGUUGAAUAAGCUGGCACCUUGACGGUACCUAACCAGAAAGCCACGGCUAACUACGUGCCAGCAGCCGCAGUAA
rnacentral:rRNA from 1 species